AAGGACACUGACACUGGACAAUUGAGUACACAAUGUUUUGGUUACAAAGGUGAAAAAUAUUGAAAAUUGAAUGUGAUCAAGUGCUAAAAUUAAUAGACCAAUAAAAAUCUAACUUACUCCAGGGUGCAGAGAGUGGUUGUUUGAAUGAAUGGCAUUUAAUUUGAAAAGAUAAGAUUGAGCCAGAUAUAAAGUAUACAAAAAUGGCAUUACAAUAUUUGGUGAAAUGAUGUGGGUGCCCCCUGGGAUCUGUCAUUUGUAGAACAUUGCAAACUGUGGAAACAGUAUAUGAAAAGGUCCUGGGAUACACAGGAGCAUGAUACAGCUAGGGAUUUAAAGAAGGCUGCCAUGUUAAGUGAGGGCACAAGAGUUAAGGCCUGUGAAGUAAGCUAAGUAUAGAUAUUCAGUCUGACAGGUAAUGUGUAUUUUGGAUUCUAUCUUGACAGUAAUAGGAAAUUACAAAAUUAUUUUAAACAUGGGGGAGAUAUAAUCUCUGCAAAUUUCUAAUACAUCACUUUGGCUGCUUUUAAGAAAAUGGAUUGAAGAAUGACAAAAAUGGAUACAGAAAGAAAAACACACAAUCAACAGGAAUACUGGCAUUUACACUUGUCUUUAAUACCUAUCAUUUAAAUUUCACAAUGGCCCAGUGAUGAUGUUUUCUUAUUAUCUCACUUGGAGGAAAUACGCUUAAAAUGUAAACUAUUUUGCCUAAAGUCUCUUAGAUAUGGAAAUGUCUCAGUGUUAGAGUCCACAUUUAUUUUCACAGAAAUUACCCUAGGGCAAAAAAAAAAAAAAACAAACAACAAAAACAAACAAACAAACAAACAAAAAAACACCAACAGCAACAACAAAAAGUGAACAAAAUCAGAAUUUAUUCCUGGCCUUCCUGGCCUGAACAGUGUUGGGUAACACUUAAAAUUGAGAAAAACAAAUUUAAGAAAAACCUGUGUAAUUUCUCAGUACAUAUAAAAUUUGGGGACACCCGCUACAUUUGCUAUUAUGCUUACAAAUAAUAUUUCCAUAUGGAAAAAUAUAUAUGCACGUAUAUGUGUAUAUGUGGGUGUAAUCACAACUAAGUUCAUUGUUAACUGCUUUCACUUGAAAUUCCUGCUGUUUUCCAGCAGCCUUGCUUUUUAUAUGCAUGCUCAUUUCAUUAAAAAAAAUCAUUUAUUUUUAUUUAUUUUUUAAAAUGAAUUUUAUUUUUUCCAUUAUAGCUGGUUUACAGUGUUCUGUCAAUUUUCUACUGCACAGCAAAUCAUUUAUUUUGAAAUCUCCUCAUAUUUGCCAUCCAGGCCUGUGACCUCACAAAAGUUAUUUAUCUUCUCCAUGCCUGUUUCCUCACUGGUAAAAGGAAGUUACCGAUAUCACCUUCCUCAUUUAGUGCCUAAUGCACAUAAGGUGUUUUAGAACAUGCCUGGGAAUUGACAAGGACUCAUUAAAUGUUGGAUAUGAAAUGCUAGCUGUUGAAGAAAUAAAAGUCACCCUCAUAUUUUUGGCAUCAAAGCUUCAAACCUACACUCAUCAGCACCUCUUCCCCCCAAUGUUCUUUUCUUACCCUAGAGGAGGAAUCCCUUCCCCUGUCAAAUGCCAUCUGUGAGCUCAGUCCUCUAAAUCCCACCAUCUCUCUUGUUCUCCAAGGCUCUCCUCCUUGAAGAAUCUUGUUUCCUAAAUCUCUCUCUCUCUCAUGCUAUUGAAUCAUCUUUUCAUUAGCAUGGAAGCAUACUUAUUGUCUUCCAUUUUACAACCAGUGAGACAUGCUCUUGACAUUGCAUAGUUGCCCUCUUAUUUCUUUGUCCCCCAUUACAAGCAUAUUUCUAUAAAGAACCGUUCUUAUUCUCCACACCACACAGUUGGCAAGAAAGAUCCCAAUCAUUAUUCUUGAUUCUAUUUUCCUCGCCAUGGCUACCCCUCUUUCUAACACUCUGCAUCUCUCAGAAAUUUUCCUUCUCCCUUCUACUCCCCAAAGCACAAACCCUUUCUGAUCACUGCUUCUUCCAACUUCAUCUAGACCAGCAUGAUCUGUGUGUAGGCUGAUAAAAUGGUCUUCCAAUUCAUAGCUCCCCUAACACUCAUAAUCUUCUCAAAACAUUCCUCACAAAGUUCCAAGAGUGAUCUUCUCAAAAUAUACACCUGAGUAUGUCGUUCUUCUAUAUCUACUAUAACAAGGGCUUGCUACACAUAAACCUCAUGUGUGACUAUUCAGCAUUUCAUACUCAGCACUUAGUGGAUAUUGUACAAGUAGACAUUUUAUGAAGAAGUGAGUGUCAGUUAUUUCACAGCCAUUGUUAGGAGUAAGAGUAUUGUGAUAAUCUCAGAAUGCUAGACAUAAAUCCUGGCUAUUGUACCUACUAGUGGAUUCAAUUCUCUGUGCCUCAGUUCCCCAAUCUCUAAAGUAAUAACAGUAAAUAUAGCAUAGGGGUGAUGAAAGAAUAAAUGCAUAAAUCUGUUAGAAUCAUGUUUGUUACCUGUGUUGGUGAUCAUGAUGAUAAUGAUCAUCUAAUUUAUCUGGACGCAAAACUUGUAUCCAUGUUGUUUUAUAAAAAAAAGAUAACAUUCAUUUCUUCCUGGGGGAAUCUUAGAAGCCUCUGUAGCUCUAGAAAUAAAAGGCAUCAAUAAAAACUAAAAUUUCAAUAUUAAAAGGAAAUUUCCUUUUGCCUAAAUUGCUCUAGUGUGUUUAUUUAUUUCUUGCAUCUAACAGCAAGUGAUUUCCAAAUCAGAUGAUCUCAAAGUUUAUGAACUACCAGGGAAGCAGACAGUACCAAAAGCUUUUGGCAGUUCAUACAUGGCACAGAGUGGCAAAGUGGAGUACUGGGCAAGAUACUUUCAAAACAGAACAAGCAUUUUCUUUGAUUUACCCAUUUCUCUCAGUAAUUCCUUCAUACUGAACUCCUAUUCAGCAUGAAACAGGAGCAUACUUGUGAUAUUAGCCAUCAGAAAAGAUGACUUAUGAACAUCACAUUUCAUAGUAAGAGAAACACAUGAGGAAGCUGCUGUUUGACUUGGAAAGCUAGCAUUUUCUGAACAAUGAACAAAAAUUUAGCAAAGAUGUCAAGUGAAUUGGCCUUUUCCUUUUUAUUGAGAUAACAUCCGUGUCUUUCUAAAUUUUCUUUCUUUUUGCUGGUUGCAGUUAUACUAGGAUAAUUAUGCUGACAUUGAGAGACAAAUGCUGUCAGUGUCUCUUUUUUUUUUUUUUUUUCAUGUGCAUAAUGGCCAAAAUCAUUUCGAUUCAAUUCAAUAGAGGCUACCUUUCCUUGUUUCCAGCCAUUUAAGCCUACAUUAGGGUUUAAAAGAACUCCAGUAACUACCCCAGCCUCCAUCCAAGGGAAAAAAAAAUCAAUUUUCUAGGAUUUCUAUAGCUCUUUUUUGGUUUCCAUAGCAGUCAAGGGCAAGCUGAGAAGAAGGAGGAAAAAAAAAAAAGAUUUAUUUCCAACUCUAGUGAAAGCUGAGUCCCAAGAUAAAAGAAAAAGCCAAGUAUAAUGAGAAAAAGGGAAAGUAAAAGAAAGCAAACUCCUAUAGGUCUGUACCGAAUAUGACCUUUGUUCUGAGAAUUCAAAGAGUAAUAAAUUAUCAGAGAACAUAGGACAUCAUUUGUGUCAUUGAAGCUGUACCUCUUGCUUGACUAGGGAACUGAGCAACAAUACACAGAUGGAGGGCAAUGAAUUUAUGAAAUUAUGUGCCAGCUACCAGGAUAGGGCUUGAAAUGUGCACUUGCUGUUGGCACUAGAAUUGGGGCUUGGUUGCUCUAAUGCCAGAACUCCAUGCUCACACUCUGCUUUUUGUGCCAAAGUUAGAUGCUCAGAUUUGAAAGCUAAAAUUUAUCAAGUUUUAGCACUGCCUCUCCACAGCCAAAUGAUAAUGGCAUAAAAAAGGUACAUUUUUUUUACUUCAGUUUAAAAGUAGAACUGCCACAUUAAGAUAAAUUCACUCUCCUCAAACAAUUCAGGUAUGAAACAUUUCCCUGUCAAUGAACUCAUCUUAAAGUGGCUAGAGAGCUUUUUCUGAUUCUGUUGUACACUGGGUCGGGUGGCCUGGUGCCAAUUUCCUCUGGCAUUUAGCUUUAGAUAAAUAUUUAUUUUCUCUGUCCUGGACACUAAUCAUAUCCUUUGAUAUUAAGAACUGCUUUAACAUGAAUAGUAAUUUAAAGACAUUAAGGUGGCCAUAUUUGAUGAAAUAGUCUCUAGACAGUUUUUUAAAAUGUGAUCCCAUUGUAAGCCACAACCUCACUAUUCUGGUUUAUCCUGAGGCCACACAAUUAUUUUUCAUGUUAUGAUACUGAAGCUCCUAUGCAUCCUUUUCUGGCUAUAUCAUGCCCAUAAUAUAAAAAGCUAUAGAAACAUCGGGAAUUCUCUAUAAUAAGAAAUGCUUAUUAAGUGCUCACAGGUUAUAUCCCUGAAGUCCUAAACUCUGUGUCAGCACUUCUUAUUUCCUGGUUGCACCACAGAACCAUCUAAGGAACAAUGUAAAAAUUAUCUUUGCCCUGGCACUACCCCAGACCAAUUGAAUCAGAAUCUCCCAAAGUAGGGCUUAGACAUCAAUGCUUUUAAAGCUCCCCUGUUGAUUCAAAUGUGCAGCUAGAGUUGAGAAAACUCUUCUGUGUAAAGGGAUAGUCUACAUCUUUGUGGAAGCAAAUCAAGAAUGUAAUGAGAAAGUACAACCAAAUAAAGAAAUCCUAAAUCAGUGAUCCUAAUACACACAUACAUUAACUUGCUAAUUUUCAGCAAGGCAAGAAUUAAGGAUGCUCUAAAGA
rnacentral:lncRNA from 1 species